rnacentral:rRNA from 1 species
CCCAAGCGAUGGGGUGACGCAGGAAGGUAGCUGGGCCAGUCAGUGGUUGUACUGGUGUAAGAGUGUAGGCCGUGACAUAGGCAAAUCCGUGUCACAUUAAGGCUGAGACUUGAUGCAUACCCGUUGUGGGGAAUUCGGUGAUCCUAUGCUGCCGAGAAAAGCCUCUAGUGAGUUCAUACACGGCCCGUACCCCAAACCGACACAGGUGAUCAGGUAGAGAAUACCAAGGCGAUCGAGAGAACUGUGGUUAAGGAACUCGGCAAAAUGCCCCCGUAACUUCGGGAGAAGGGGGACCAUGCCCGGUGAACAUCUUCACGGUGGGAGCUGGGUGUGGUCGCAGAGACCAGAGAGAAGCGACUGUUUACUAAAAACACAGGUCCGUGCGAAGACGUAAGUAGAUGUAUACGGACUGACGCCUGCCCGGUGCUGGAAGGUUAAGAGGACCGGUUAGCCGUAAGGCGAAGCUGAGAAUUUAAGCCCCAGUAAACGGCGGUGGUAACUAUAACCAUCCUAAGGUAGCGAAAUUCCUUGUCGGGUAAGUUCCGACCUGCACGAAUGGCGUAACGACUUCUCUGCUGUCUCGACCACAGACUCGGCGAAAUUGCACUACGAGUAAAGAUGCUCGUUACGCGCGGCAGGACGAAAAGACCCCGGGACCUUUACUAUAGCUUGGUAUUGGCGUUCGAUUCGGUUUGUGUAGGAUAGGUGGGAGACUGUGAAGCAUGCACGCCAGUGUGUGUGGAGUCGUUGUUGAAAUACCACUCUGAUCGUAUUGGACGUCUAACCUCGGCCCAUGAUCUGGGUUAGGGACAGUGCCUGGUGGGUAGUUUAACUGGGGCGGUUGCCUCCUAAAGAGUAACGGAGGCGCCCAAAGGUUCCCUCAGCCUGGAUGGCAAUCAGGUGUUGAGUGCAAGUGCACAAGGGAGCUUGACUGUGAGACUGACACGUCGAGCAGGGACGAAAGUCGGGACUAGUGAUCCGGCACCGGCAAGUGGAAGCGGUGUCGCUCAACGGAUAAAAGGUACCCCGGGGAUAACAGGCUGAUCUUCCCCAAGAGUCCAUAUCGACGGGAUGGUUUGGCACCUCGAUGUCGGCUCGUCGCAUCCUGGGGCUGGAGUAGGUCCCAAGGGUUGGGCUGUUCGCCCAUUAAAGCGGCACGCGAGCUGGGUUUAGAACGUCGUGAGACAGUUCGGUCUCUAUCCGCCGCGCGCGUAAGAAACUUGAGGAAGGCCGUCCCUAGUACGAGAGGACCGGGACGGACGAACCUCUGGUGUGCCAGUUGUUCCACCAGGAGCAUGGCUGGUUAGCUACGUUCGGAAGGGAUAACCGCUGAAAGCAUCUAAGCGGGAAGCCUGUUCCAAGAUGAGGUUUCUCACCACCUUGCGUGGUUAAGGCCCCCUACAGACCAUGGGGUUGAUAGGCCGGAACUGGAAGCGCAGCAAUGCGUGGAGGUGACCGGUACUAAUAGGCCGAGGGCUUACACA